GGCAUUGUCUCUUGGAAGUACUCGAUUUGUCGCAAUAUAUUGUUGGUAUCUAUGACGCACAUUUUAGACUUUUCUUUUGAGGGCUAUUCUUGGUUGUACACUACAUUUGUGUUUUCUUGCUUGUUUAGGGCUGAGAGGCAUUUUGGAAGGAUGGAAAAUGGGUCGUUUGUAGUAAUCCUUCUCUUUUAUUUCAAAUUAAUAGAGCAACAGUUCUAUAUGAUCAGCCUCCCAAGUUUUUCCGUCCCACUUCACUCGAAGAAUAGCAUAAGUUGUUUUGCAGAUUAAAUAAAAUCUGAGGCAGCCACUUGGCAUUGAAGAUUGCACAAGCACUGGAGUUAUAGCUUAGGAGCAUCUGGUCAUUCUUGUCACUUGUAGAAGAGGUAUCAAAUCUUUGACAGCUCUAAGUUCAUCUUUUAUAUUAAUAUAAUAUUGUUGUGUAUUUUAUGUUACUUUAACUCAUUAUUUAUGAGCUCCAUUUGACUAACGACAGGUGCAUGUUGGUCUAUGUUGAAGUUGAUCAAUCUAGGUUUGGAAUGAGUUGUAGAGUUUUGAAACAGAGGAAAGUAUUUCAUUAACUCUGUUACUUGCAAUUUAUCAUCUUAUUUUCCAAUUUACAUUUUAUGAGUACAGUCAUUCCUCAGAGUUGUUGAACAUAUGAGAAAAAUUAAUAAUACUAGGGGUAAUUCCAUCCAACCCUAAUUUCAAUACAUUUUAUCCAGCAUAUUAAAGCAUGAGGACUGUAAAUAUGGUAUUGUGGAUUUUAUCUGCUGUGAUGUUCAAGGAAUGUAGCUGAGGAUCUAGAUUUGUAAAUUUUCCUUGGUAAAUUUUCCUUACCAAGAAUUAACAUGCAUCUUUCACAACUACUCUAUUUGUAAAUUCCAGAUCUUGAAAAUUGAUAAUCCUAGAUGAAUAUCACUUUUUAAUUUGAGUAGUUGAAAAUGCAUAGCACGCUGCUUAUCGCACUUGUUUAUUUAAGUUUUUUCUGUUGUUAGUUUGGUAAAUUGCUUGUGCUUUGAUAUCAUAUCUCAAAGGGUAUUUGUAUGUUAUCUCAGCUGUUAAUUCUAUGCGUGUUUCAUCUCAACUGAAGAUCAAAUGCUUUGUAGGUAUGGACCAAUCUAGAUAUGCACAAGACUAGUAUUUGUAGCAGCAGCUGUUGGCACCUUCAGGACUUAUGAAGGUCAAGAAUUGAGUGGGGAGAUGACAUUAAUAUGGUGCAAUGGUCUGCUAGGUUCUAUGGUUACACUAAUAUUGUUCCUCUUGUGCUGUAUGUAAUAUACUUCUUGGCACCAGUUGGUCUGUUCAACUGUAGCUGUAUCACUACUUGUUUUUCUUUCUACCAACUUUGGUUAGCAUUUGGUGAUUCAUUUUCAAUUGAUAUAAUUAUGUAUAAUAACAAUUUAGACCAUUAAAAGUAGUAUAGUAGGCUUGGAUGUUA